GACGAACGCUGGCGGCGUGCUUAACACAUGCAAGUCGAACGGAAAGGCCCUGCUUUUGUGGGGUGCUCGAGUGGCGAACGGGUGAGUAACACGUGAGUAACCUGCCCUUGACUUUGGGAUAACUUCAGGAAACUGGGGCUAAUACCGGAUAGGAGCUCCUGCUGCAUGGUGGGGGUUGGAAAGUUUCGGCGGUUGGGGAUGGACUCGCGGCUUAUCAGCUUGUUGGUGGGGUAGUGGCUUACCAAGGCUUUGACGGGUAGCCGGCCUGAGAGGGUGACCGGCCACAUUGGGACUGAGAUACGGCCCAGACUCCUACGGGAGGCGGCAGUGGGGAAUAUUGCACAAUGGGCGGAAGCCUGAUGCAGCAACGCCGCGUGCGGGAUGACGGCCUUUGGGUUGUAAACCGCUUUCGCCUGUGACGAAGCGUGAGUGACGGUAAUGGGUAAAGAAGCACCGGCUAACUACGUG
rnacentral:rRNA from 1 species